UACAGAGACUGCAAGCGUUAUUCGGAUUCACUGGGCGUAAAGGGUGCGCAGGCGGCCGUGUGUGUGAGGCGUGAAAGCCCGGGGCUUAACCCCGGAAUUGCACCUCAAACUACAUGGCUAGAGCAUUGGAGAGGGUAGCGGAAUUCACGGUGUAGCAGUGAAAUGCGUAGAUAUCGUGAGGAACACCAGAGGCGAAGGCGGCUGCCUGGACAAUUGCUGACGCUCAGGCACGAAAGCGUGGGGAGCAAAAGGG
rnacentral:rRNA from 1 species